GCGAGUGAAGCGGCAACAGCUCAAAUUUGAAAUCUGGCUCCCCUGGGGGCCCGAGUUGUAAUUUGUAGAGGAUGCUUCGGCGUGGGCCCCGGUCUAAGUUCCUUGGAACAGGACGUCACAGAGGGUGAGAAUCCCGUACGUGGCCGUGGGUGCUCGCCAUGUGAAGCUCCUUCGACGAGUCGAGUUGUUUGGGAAUGCAGCUCUAAAUGGGAGGUAAAUUUCUUCUAAAGCUAAAUACUGGCCAGAGACCGAUAGCGCACAAGUAGAGUGAUCGAAAGAUGAAAAGCACUUUGGAAAGAGAGUCAAAAAGUACGUGAAAUUGUUGAAAGGGAAGCGCUUGCAACCAGACCUGCCUGCGGUUGCUCAUCCGGGCUCCUGCCCGGUGCACUCUUCCGCAGUCAGGCCAGCAUCAGCUCUGGCGGUCGGAUAAAGGCGGCGGGAAUGUGGCUCCCCUCGGGGAGUGUUAUAGCCCGCCGUGCAAUGCGGCCAGCCGGGACUGAGGUCCGCGCUUCGGCUAGGAUGCUGGCGUAAUGGUUGUAAGCGGCCCGUCUUGAAACACGGACCAAGGAGUCUAACAUCUGUGCGAGUGUUUGGGUGUCAAGCCCAGGCGCGUAAUGAAAGUGAACGGAGGCGGGAACCUUCGGGUGCACCGUCGACCGAUCCUGAUGUCUUCGGAUGGAUUUGAGUAAGAGCAUAGCUGUUGGGACCCGAAAGAUGGUGAACUAUGCCUGAAUAGGGUGAAGCCAGAGGAAACUCUGGUGGAGGCUCGCAGCGGUUCUGACGUGCAAAUC
rnacentral:rRNA from 1 species